rnacentral:rRNA from 1 species
GAUGGACCCGCGCCGUAUUAGCUAGUUGGUAAGGUAACGGCUUACCAAGGCAACGAUACGUAGCCGACCUGAGAGGGUGAUCGGCCACACUGGAACUGAGACACGGUCCAGACUCCUACGGGAGGCAGCAGUAGGGAAUCUUCCGCAAUGGGCGAAAGCCUGACGGAGCAACGCCGCGUGAGUGAUGAAGGUCUUAGGAUCGUAAAACUCUGUUGUUAGGGAAGAACAAAUUUGUUAGUAACUGAACAAGUCUUGACGGUACCUAACCAGAAAGCCACGGCUAACUACGUGCCAGCAGCCGCGGUAAUACGUAGGUGGCAAGCGUUAUCCGGAAUUAUUGGGCGUAAAGCGCGCGUAGGCGGUUUCUUAAGUCUGAUGUGAAAGCCCACGGCUCAACCGUGGAGGGUCAUUGGAAACUGGGGAACUUGAGUGCAGAAGAGGAGAGUGGAAUUCCAUGUGUAGCGGUGAAAUGCGCAGAGAUAUGGAGGAACACCAGUGGCGAAGGCGGCACUCUGGUCUGUAACUGACGCUGAUGUGCGAAAGCGUGGGGAUCAAACAGGAUUAGAUACCC